UGGGGAAUAUUGGACAAUGGGCGAAAGCCUGAUCCAGCCAUGCCGCGUGUGUGAAGAAGGUCUUCGGAUUGUAAAGCACUUUAAGUUGGGAGGAAGGGCAGUAAGUUAAUACCUUGCUGUUUUGACGUUACCGACAGAAUAAGCACCGGCUAACUCUGUGCCAGCAGCCGCGGUAAUACAGAGGGUGCAAGCGUUAAUCGGAAUUACUGGGCGUAAAGCGCGCGUAGGUGGUUUGUUAAGUUGGAUGGGAAAGCCCCGGGCUCAACCUGGGAACUGCAUCCAAAACUGGCAAGCUAGAGUACGGUAGAGGGUGGUGGAAUUUCCUGUGUAGCGGUGAAAUGCGUAGAUAUAGGAAGGAACACCAGUGGCGAAGGCGACCACCUGGACUGAUACUGACACUGAGGUGCGAAAGCGUGGGGAGCAAACA
rnacentral:rRNA from 1 species